rnacentral:misc_RNA from 1 species
GAAAUGCGAUAAGUAGUGUGAAUUGCAGAAUUCAGUGAAUUAUCGAAUCUUUAAACGUAUAUUGCGCCCUUUGGUAUUCCUUAGAGCAUGCCUGUUUGAGCGUUAUUUACACCCUCAAGCUCUGCUUAGUGUUAGGCAGUAGACUGCUCCUCUUAGGGGUCGCGUCCCGCCUUAAAUGUAUUAGCAGCUGGUUUAUUAGCUUUGAGCGCAGCAGAAACGCGUAACUUGGAUCUGGUAGGCUAGGUACUAGAAGGCUUAUUUUAACGACUUUAACCUCAGAUUAGGUAGAGAUACCUGCUGAACUUAA